CUGCGUGAAGUUGGAAUUGCUAGUAAUCGCGGAUCAGCAUGCCGCGGUGAAUACGUUCCCGGGCCUUGUACACACCGCCCGUCACACCAUGGGAGCCGGUAAUACCCGAAGUCAGCAGCCUAACCGCAAGGGGGGCGCUGCCGAAGGUAGGAUUGGCGACUGGGGUGAAGUCGUAACAAGGUACC
rnacentral:rRNA from 1 species